AAACAUGGGAUAUUUUUAUUAGUAAUCAUCUCAGAUCUACCAAGUUACUUUGUAGAAUCUCUGUAACAGUUUUAGGCUAAGGAACUUGGCUGGACAUGUAAGAUUACACACAGAGCUAUAGAAAUGGCUCACCCUUCAUGGUGUGGCUCUGGAUAUGGAUUUACUGAUGAGACAGGGAUGCCACGGCACUCUGGCUCCUUGGUCCUAGGAGCCAGGGGCAUCUGCCAAGCUCCUGGAGUUGGGCAGCAGCUGGGAAAUGCUUCCCUCUACUUGUGAGCAGCCUCACACUGGGGCCUUGUUGCUGUGCAGGGCAGUGCAUUGUCAUAUGUCCUGACAUGUGGGUGGUAGUCCUAUGUCAUAUGGUGGGACUGCAGCCAUGCAUUGCAUGUACUGUGGAUGCUCUGCAUGUGCCUGUGUGUUCAGAGGGGGAAAUGAGCCUGUGUGAGCGCCACGCUGUCUUGUCUAGCCUGCUGAAACUGGGCUGGGUGUCUACCUGCAUGUCGUGUAAGCAGGAAGUUACAAAAUGCUACCAUAAAAUUUGACCUGUGCCCUGAUAAACACAAGGGGACAGAUCCCACAUUGCUCCAUUGUAAUUUUAAGCAGUGAUUUGAGAGGCAGACACCUUUGAUUAGCUGUAUUUUGGGGGUGUAACCACGCAGCUACUCAUUAAGUCAUUGUCUUCCUUCUCUUUAUAUUUACUGUCUUAGAAAAGGUGUCUAAAGCAUCAGGACUCCCAGUGCCUGCCUACCUGCCUGCCUCUGCUGUCUGUCUCCUCGCACUGCAUGUGUUUUGUAUGUCAGGUUUCUUGCCGUUUUAGUCCUGUCAACCGGCCAACGUAUCUGCUGAAGAGCCAGCUGGAGUCUGCGCUCUCCCGUGUUUCAUCAACAGGAUUGCCAGCUUGUUCUGAUUCAGUAUCUUUAUUGUUGUUGAUGAGGCUAAACGAAUCAGAAAGAACACAGCUAUGUAUACAAAAUACAAGCUCGGAAACCUCA